GAUGAACGCUGGCGGCGUGCCUAAUACAUGCAAGUCGAGCGAACAGACGAGGAGCUUGCUCCUCUGACGUUAGCGGCGGACGGGUGAGUAACACGUGGAUAAUCUACCUAUAAGACUGGGAUAACUUCGGGAAACCGGAGCUAAUACCGGAUAAUAUAUUGAACCGCAUGGUUCAAUAGUGAAAGACGGUUUUGCUGUCACUUAUAGAUGGAUCCGCGCCGCAUUAGCUAGUUGGUAAGGUAACGGCUUACCAAGGCGACGAUGCGUAGCCGACCUGAGAGGGUGAUCGGCCACACUGGAACUGAGACACGGUCCAGACUCCUACGGGAGGCAGCAGUAGGGAAUCUUCCGCAAUGGGCGAAAGCCUGACGGAGCGACGCCGCGUGAGUGAUGAAGGUCUUCGGAUCGUAAAACUCUGUUAUUAGGGAAGAACAAAUGUGUAAGUAACUAUGCACGUCUUGACGGUACCUAAUCAGAAAGCCACGGCUAACUACGUG
rnacentral:rRNA from 1 species